UGCCAGCCGCCGCGGUAAUACGAAGGGACCUAGCGUAGUUCGGAAUUACUGGGCUUAAAGAGUUCGUAGGUGGUUGAAAAAGUUGGUGGUGAAAUCCCAGGGCUCAACCCUGGAACUGCCUUUAAAACUGUUAGUCUUGAGAUCGAGAGAGGUGAGUGGAAUUCCAAGUGUAGAGGUGAAAUUCGUAGAUAUUUGGAGGAACACCAGUGGCGAAAGCGACUUUCUGGCUAUUUUCUGACGCUGAGGAGCGAAAGCGUGGGUAGCGAACGGGAUUAGAUA
rnacentral:rRNA from 1 species